rnacentral:rRNA from 1 species
GGGGACUAUUGCGCAAUGGGCGAAAGCCUGACGCAGCAACGCCGCGUGCGGGAUGAAGGCCUUCGGGUUGUAAACCGCUUUCAGCAGGGACGACGGUUUGCUGACGGUACCUGCAGAAGAAGCACAGGCUAACUACGUGCCAGCAGCCGCGGUGAUACGUAGGGUGCGAGCGUUGACCGGAAUUAUUGGGCGUAAAGAGCUUGUAGGCGGUUUGUUGCGUCGGAAGUGAAAACUCAGGGCUUAACCCUGAGCCUGCUUUCGAUACGGGCAGACUUGAGGGAUGUAGGGGAUAACGGAAUUCCUGGUGGAGCGGUGGAAUGCGCAGAUAUCAGGAGGAACACCAGUGGCGAAGGCGGUUCUCUGGACAUUUCCUGACGCUGAGAAGCGAAAGCGUGGGGAGCAAACA